rnacentral:lncRNA from 1 species
CUGAAAGUUCAUUCACCGUGCCAUUGUCUUUAUAUGAACAUAGGAUAGAGAAGCGAUCCUCUUCUUCCAUCACACUAGUCGUUUAGGGAUGGAAGGUUUGCUCCUCUGCAUUUUUGAGACUUUUCUGUAGUUUGUAAAUAACUCCGUUCUCUGCUUGAACACAGUAUUCUCCCAAUAGCACUUCCAUUGCCAGUGUCUUUCUUUGGUGCCUUUCCUGUUCAGCAUUCUCAGCCUGUGGCAGUGAAGAGAAACUUUGUGCUACAUGACAACAAAGCUGCUAAAUCUCCUAUUUUUUUAAAAUCACUAACAUUAUAUUGCAACAAGGGAAAGAAAAAAG